rnacentral:rRNA from 1 species
UACGAAGGGGGCUAGCGUUGCUCGGAAUCACUGGGCGUAAAGGGUGCGUAGGCGGGUCUUUAAGUCAGGGGUGAAAUCCUGGAGCUCAACUCCAGAACUGCCUUGAUACUGAAGAUCUUGAGUUCGGGAGAGGUGAGUGGAACUGCGAGUGUAGAGGUGAAAUUCGUAGAUAUUCGCAAGAACACCAGUGGCGAAGGCGGCUCACUGGCCCGAUACUGACGCUGAGGCACGAA